UGAGGAAUAUUGGACAAUGGGUGAAAGCCUGAUCCAGCCAUCCCGCGUGAAGGAUGACGGUCCUAUGGAUUGUAAACUUCUUUUGUACAGGGAUAAACCUACUCUCGUGAGGGUAGCUGAAGGUACUGUACGAAUAAGCACCGGCUAACUCCGUGCCAGCAGCCGCGGUAAUACGGAGGGUGCAAGCGUUAUCCGGAUUUAUUGGGUUUAAAGGGUCCGUAGGCGGACCUGUAAGUCAGUGGUGAAAUCUCAUAGCUUAACUAUGAAACUGCCAUUGAUACUGCAGGUCUUGAGUAAAUUUGAAGUGGCUGGAAUAAGUAGUGUAGCGGUGAAAUGCAUAGAUAUUACUUAGAACACCAAUUGCGAAGGCAGGUCACUAAGAUUUAACUGACGCUGAUGGACGAAAGCGUGGGUAGCGAACA
rnacentral:rRNA from 1 species